GGGAGCGGCGGCGGCUGCGGCGGCAGCGGCGACCGCGCAAGCAACAGCUUGCAGAGCCCAGCGCCGUGUGACACGGCUCCCUGACAUUAGUGGUGUGAACUCAGGCCGCCUUCAGAAGGGUAAGGGGCUGCUGGCCUGACAUCACUCGAAGAGCAGGUGGUGGCAGUGGGACCACCCCAGCCCUUCUUUUCAACCCCAAAUCCCAUCCAGUUUCCCUCAGAGAACCAGCGGAUUUCUCCAACCCAAAGUACUAUGGUGGCUACAGUUCACAGGAGCAGCCAAGCAAGGGCAUCGCUAUGGGGAGGACAGCUGGGACAUUUGACCCAAAGGGAGCCAGGACCACCAGUGAAAGAGAUUGACACCUGCUCUGAAUAAUGACCCAGAGAACAAUGCUGUGUCAGCACACUCCAAAAAAUCUAGUCAUUUCCUGAAGAUCAAUGGCUAAUUCCUGCACUUGUAUGCGUCGGAGGGGUGCAGCAGAUCUAUUUAAAGAAAAGCAGAGGGCCCUGCAGAGCAGGAUCCUGGCCAUCACAGAUGACCCAAGCACAUCACAGCCCUGUCAGUGUUGGGGACUGUGGUCUGGAGAUCCAGCAGCUGGUCUGAAUACUUGUGGUGGCAGAGGGCUGUGGAUUGUGGUUUUGGAUCUUUAGCCCCAGUGAGAAGACACAUCAGCAAUGGUGAAGAAGGCAGAAGCUGCUGGUGUGGAGGCCCAAGCGACUCUCUCAACACCAACUGACUGUGCUGGAGGAAUACAAAGGCAAAGGCAACUAAGAGUCAUCACCAGAUGGCUGGAACUCCAGAACCCUACUUAUUCCUCUCAUUGCAAUAGUCACUCAUCUAGGCAACAUAAGUAUGAGAAGGUUUACAUUAGGGUUUGGAGAAUACAAGUACUUGCUCUCCCUCCAUAGCCUAAGAGGGCCCUUGAUGGGUCUCUCAUUUUUUAAAAUGGAAAUGUUUUUUAUUGUUUCUGUAGGUUAUAAAAAUAAUGAAUGCUUGUAAAAACCUCAAAUAACACAGAAGUAUAUAAAGUAGAAAGUAAAUUUUUCCCUAUAAUCCCAUCCAGAGAUAACCAUGAUUAACAGUUUGAAGAAUAUCCAUCCAGAAAUUGUAUUGCACAUACAAAUGUGAGUCCUAUGAAUGUGAUUAAACUACAUAUUCUAUUCUCCUCCUGCCUUUCCACUGUACAAUUUAUUGUGGACAUCU